GACGUAGGGCGCGAGCGUUGUCCGGAUUUAUUGGGCGUAAAGAGCUCGUAGGCGGUUUGUCGCGUCGUCCGUGAAAACUCACAGCUUAACUGUGAGCUUGCGGUCGAUACGGGCAGGCUAGAGUUCGGUAGGGGAGAAUGGAAUUCCCGGUGUAGCGGUGAAAUGCGCAGAUAUCGGGAGGAACACCGGUGGCGAAGGCGGUUCUCUGGGCCUUACCUGACGCUG
rnacentral:rRNA from 1 species